rnacentral:misc_RNA from 1 species
AUUAUGAGACUAGCCCUUUUGGCUUUUCAAAUUGGUUUCUCUAAAUUAAAAUGAAGGGGAAAUUAAAAAGCCACUAAACUCAUCAAGACAAAUAUUGUCACAAGCUGAUACAUGAUGUUAAUUACAACAUUGUUUUUCUUGUCUAAUAAUUAAACUAUUAGAAAGAGGUAAAGCAUUCAUGUUCAGAUGAAUUUGAAUCAUCACUUGGAGAGUGGUUGUGUCUACCUUCAUAGGUUGUUAUCACCAUUCUUGGGUCCUCUGCUAAUCUCUCCACUCGUUUCUUUACUCGACAAUUAUCUUGUGUACAACGAUAAUAGCUCCUGGGAUGCAGUGUGUUCUUUACCACUUUCUGGCCGUACUUUCUCCACUUGUAUCCAUCAUCCAGCACAUCCACAUCGCUCAUAGUCUUGAAGCAAAACCUAGGCUCUCUUACCUUUCUCCUUCCUUUAAUCUUCUUCAUUUUCAUUGAAGAAACCCCUAGAUAUUGAUCAUCUCCACCACUUCUUUUGCUGCUUAAAAACUCACUCACCUCUCCCCAUGCCCAGAGAUUUGCACUAGAUCUUUGCAAUGAAAGGAGAUGGGGUCCUCCUAAAUAAGCUGUCAUGUCUUCUCUUUGCUUAGCAGCGGCGGAUGAGAGUAGCGUUUCGGUGAGAUUCGCAGUAGAUGGUGCAUCGGCUACAAGCGAAUGGGGUAUAGUAAAGCCUUUGAGAGAUUGAUGGCAACUAUCCAGUUGAGGAAAAGUUGAGUGUGGAGCAAAAGAAAAGAAACCCAUUUGCGUAGGCAUCUCUUGCUCCUCAAACAAGCCCUGAUUUAGCAUGGCUUGGGAGGUGGCUGCCA